GUUUACAGUGACAACAGAAGCAGAUUUAUCGACAACAAGAUCCCAAGAAAUGUUGUGCGUCUACCGUGGGACUGUACACGGGGCCUCCUUCCUCCAGCUUCUUCUUGUCCUUUAUGGACCGCAGCGACUUCUCCACCUUCGAAUCGUCCCAUCUCCUCCCCGAUGUGUGUAUCCACCGGACACUGGCGAUGUACUGCUGCGGCACUGUGGUCCACUGGGGUCCUGUUGUGAUCCCAGGGUGUAGUGAAGUGGAGGCUCUGAGGCUGAAGGCGCAUAAGAGCCGCUGCGAGUCCCAACUCUGGCCCGACACAGGGAGGGUAGGAGUGAAUAUGGAAACUGAAGUCAAACUCGCAGAUGCUGUCGGGAGCUGCGGACACUGUUUAAUCCCAACAUUUUUCUCUUUUAUUUGACUUACCUGUGACUGGAGAGUCUGAGAGCUGUGCAGCUGAAACAGGCACCAUCUUGUAACUUCCCUGAAAGGAAAAGGAAAAAAACCAAUGAAUCGAUUUAUAAAUCAAAUACUAAA